UGGGGAAUAUUGGACAAUGGGCGAAAGCCUGAUCCAGCCAUGCCGCGUGUGUGAAGAAGGUCUUCGGAUUGUAAACUGCUUUUUGUACGGAACGAAAAGACUCUGGUUAAUACCUGGGGUCCAUGACGGUACCGUAAGAAUAAGCACCGGCUAACUACGUGCCAGCAGCCGCGGUAAUACGUAGGGUGCGAGCGUUAAUCGGAAUUACUGGGCGUAAAGCGUGCGCAGGCGGUUAUAUAAGACAGAUGUGAAAUCCCCGGGCUCAACCUGGGAACUGCAUUUGUGACUGUAUAGCUAGAGUACGGCAGAGGGGGAUGGAAUUCCGCGUGUAGCAGUGAAAUGCGUAGAUAUGCGGAGGAACACCGAUGGCGAAGGCAAUCCCCUGGGCCUGUACUGACGCUCAUGCACGAAAGCGUGGGGAGCAAACAGGAUUAGAUACCCCUGUAGUCCCUGAGCGGGCUGGCAAGGCGCAU
rnacentral:rRNA from 1 species